UGAUGAGAUGAUGAUAUCGUCACUUUCUCUCUCUACACCAGAGCUUUAUGAUGAUGAGAAUCUUGAUGAUGCUGCAU
rnacentral:miRNA from 1 species